AAGAUUUUAAGUUAAAAAAACUAUUAAUCUUCAAAAUUAAAAAUAAUAAAUUUUUAUUAAAUCUUA
rnacentral:tRNA from 1 species